GGUCACUGAGGGACUGAAAUUCUCCACACCAGGCUGUAGUCCUGCUCAUUGCUGGAGGUGCUGUCAGGGCCCUUGCCACUGACCCUCCAGGUCUCAUUCUUGCAGUGCAGGCAGGGUAUUCUGGAGGAAUCAUGCCCUUGGAAGAAGCCCUGAGAAGUGACUGGUAGGUAUGAGUGGAUAAAUACCCGAACUCCCUUGCUCCGGGUGGGAUGACUCUGAGACACAUGUUCUAUGCUGUGUCUCAGAGGUACCCGGCAGGGCUGAGUCCUGACUGCCCACGGUGGAAACAUUCUUGAUGAAGGUCCCUUUAACUGCUGCAUUCCAUUCCUGUCUCAGUUCCCCACUCCUGUACUGGUGUUUCCUGCAAUUAGUACCGGAAGAACUGGCAGUAUAAUUGCUGUCCUAGAGUCACCUCCAGAUAAAAUUUUUAUACUUGAAUCUUUGCCUCAGGAUCUACUUCCAGGAAACUCAAACUAAGAUACACAUUUUUAUUUUGGCUCCUCCAAUCUUCAUAGACCUGUCAUUGUGCUGUUUUUACCAAAAAUGAUCAUGAGGAUCAGAGAGGGAAAGUCACUUGGCCAAAGUCACACAGCUGAACAGUGGUGGAGUUCAACUUUGACAAUGGACUGUCUGACCCCAAGUUGUAUACUUGCUUCUCUCCCAAGAGACUCCUCUCUUAUCAGGCUCAAAUGAAUGAAAGGAGGAUGUUAAAGACAAUGCUGUUACUGACGAGAUCACACCCAAGCAGAUCGGAGAUUGGCCCAAUACUUACGCCUACACCAAGGCCUUGGGAGAAAUGAUGGUGCAGCAGGAGAGCAGGAGCCUAACCAUCGCCAUCAUAAGGCCCUCCAUUGUGGGAGCAACGUGGCAUAAGCCUUUCCCAGGUUGAGUUGAUAAUCGAAAUGGACCUAGCCGAGUCAUUAUUGCGGUAUAUAUAGGGAUGAAGAAAUAACUCUGAAACGUAGUGGAGGAAUAGUAACAGAAUUCUUAGUGCUGGCUUAGCUUCAUUGAUCCAAAAAGAUGCAGCAUUACGUGGAAAGAAGCUAAAGCUGGGCGGUUC